rnacentral:rRNA from 1 species
ACGUACACUCCUGCGGGAGGCAGCAGUGGGGAAUAUUGGACAAUGGGCGCAAGCCUGAUCCAGCCAUGCCGCGUGAGUGAUGAAGGCCCUAGGGUUGUAAAGCUCUUUCACCGGUGAAGAUAAUGACGGUAACCGGAGAAGAAGCCCCGGCUAACUUCGUGCCAGCAGCCGCGGUAAUACGAAGGGGGCUAGCGUUGUUCGGAUUUACUGGGCGUAAAGCGCACGUAGGCGGACUAUUAAGUCAGGGGUGAAAUCCCGGGGCUCAACCCCGGAACUGCCUUUGAUACUGGUAGUCUUGAGUUCGAGAGAGGUGAGUGGAAUUCCGAGUGUAGAGGUGAAAUUCGUAGAUAUUCGGAGGAACACCAGUGGCGAAGGCGGCUCACUGGCUCGAUACUGACGCUGAGGUGCGAAAGCGUGGGGAGCAAACAGGAUUAGAUACCCCAGUAGUCCCAU